AUAAAUUCUGUAAAUUAGAGAAUAUGAAGGGCAUCUUCUGAAAGGUACAGUAAUUGAGAUGCAUAUCCAACUGCUGAUUUCAUCAAUGAUCAAAUACUGCAUCGAGGCAUGAAAAGUACAUGAGUGGUAUUAAAACACAUUAUUAACAUGGACUCUCUUGGCUUCUAGCCAGUGAAAUGAAAGAGGUGCUGAGUCCAGAUUUUAUGAGAUAAGGAUUCUGAGACUUGGAGCAGCUUAACAACUUGUCUAAAUCACUAAGCAAUUUAGUGUUAGAGCUGGGAGCUUCUAUGGGGCUUUCAACUCCCCCACCAAGAGAAGGAGCCUCACCAUCUUGCCUAGGGUGGUCUCGAGCUCAUGAGUUCAAGUGAUCCUCCUGCCUCAGCCUCCCAAAGUGCUAGGAUUACAGGCAUGAAAUACUACACCCAGC